CCUGCACAACCCACAAAAUCGUGUUGAUCUAGAUUAUGAUGUAGAUUCUUCAUCUGGAAUUGAAUUUCGAUUUAAGAAGAAGGGUCUACAUCAUAAACUGGAUGAUUACGAUUGUUGGAUAACAGCAG
rnacentral:pre_miRNA from 1 species